CAACCUUUUGUAUGUAAAUAUGUAAUAAAAAUCGCAAGGGGAUUAAUACAAAUUUCUCCUCGACUCUAACGCGAUAAUUAUUAAUUACCCCCUUGACCUGGAGAAGUGCAGUAACGUUGCGCCUGCAUUCCCUCUCUAUUUCUAUUCCACAAACCACAACAAUUUCAAUCUUCUUCUGUGAUUUGAGGGAGAAGUAGAAGGGGAAGAUGUCACUGACAAAUGUAAAAAUGUCGGAAGAAGUGUGGUUAACUUGCGUAACCCACGCAUUUUCAACCGAAACAGAAGAGAUCAUGGGUCUUCUUCUUGGAGACAUUGAGUGCUCGAGAGGUGGAAAAACAACAGCUUUGAUAUGGGGCGCAGCACCGCAGACUCGGUCUGAUAGGAGGAAGGACAGAGUGGAAACUAACCCUGAACAGUUGGCUGCCGCAUCAGCUAUGGCAGAAAGAAUGAGCGCUUCAACUGGAAGACGAACAAGAGUGAUUGGAUGGUAUCAUUCUCAUCCUCAUAUAACUGUACUUCCAUCGCAUGUUGAUGUGCGUACUCAGGCAAUGUAUCAGCUUUUAGAUUCAGGUUUCAUCGGGCUUAUAUUUUCAUGUUUUAAUGAAGAUGCUUAUAAGGUUGGAAGAAUUCAAGCCAUUGCAUUCCAAUCUUUAGAUGGGAAGCAGAGUUACAAUUCUAGGCCUAUUACUAUAUCUCCUGUACAGAAAAAUAACAUUAUAGAUGUUGAAUCAUCUUUGAGUUCUGAUGAUGCAUCAAGGUUAGGCUCUGGGAAGGGUGAAAAACCUGAACAGGACACAGGUGAUUCAAGAACUGCUGCAACUAAGGGCUCUGAUAGAAUAGGAGGGAAAUUUCACCCUGACAGCGUCAGUAAUGCUUUUGGUGACAUUGAUCCCAUGGAUAUGUCUGAUGGCAUGCAAGAAGCAAUGCAUCGCUCUCAUUUGGAAAUGAGUGGAGCAGAGUAUAUCCGGAAAGAAAUCCCUCUUGACGUUCUUCCUGCAUCUUCCCUUCUCAAGCUAGAUUCACCUUUGGCCUCCUUUACGGAUUUGCAGCGUGUGUUGUAUGAAGAGGAGAAGGCUGCUUAUAACCAAGCGAUAUCCCAGAAUAUGAGGUUGUUAUUGUAUAAAAACUUCUAUAAAGGGAUGGCAAGUUGCAUCCGCUUACUUUCAUUCAUCAUACAUCAACAUAUCAAGCUUCAAUGUGCAAGUUAAUGGAAUACUGCCUUACUCCUGCUAUUGAGGCUCUUGAAGAUCAUCUCCGAGAAAAUGAACUUCGGUUGGGGAUGUUGACUGAAGAAGCAAAAGUUCUGGAGGCUGAAGCCUCCAGAGGGACUGAGGGCACAGUAGGAUCUCCUCUUCGAGUUGAUGGAUAUCGAGGCAGUCCUGCUCGUGCUCAUAGUUUUGGUGAAUCUAUGAAUGCAAGAAGUCCUGCUCCUGCUAGUCCAAGUAGCAGGAGUAGAAAGGGUUUUUGAAAAUCCAACAGUAGAAAAGGUUUCGUCGAGUUUUUGAAGGUGAUGCUUGCUCAAGAUAGGUUUUGGGUUGGAGGAUAAAUGUAUAAUUUCACUAUCAUACUUCCCCAUUUCGGUGAUGUGCAGCUUAUUGAAGCAAUGCUCUGUAGCAAGGUUGUGUUAUAUAGAUAGUGUCUUGUAAAUGUUGAUGAAUCAAGCAAUGAAUGCAAUUGUUUGUUUUUUUUUUUUAGGAAUUGUUUAAUGGAGUAGAGCCACAUCUUUUGGACUUAUAUCAUUCAUAAUUUCACUUUAGUUCAGUUUAACUCGUUCA